GACGAACGCUGGCGGCGUGCCUAACACAUGCAAGUCGAACGGUAAGGCCCUGGCUUUGUUCGCUGCUCGAGUGGCGAACGGGUGAGUAACACGUGAGUAACCUGCCCUUUACCUUGGGAUAACUUUAGGAAACUGUGGCUAAUACCGGAUAGGAGUUCCUGCUGCAUGGCGUUGGCUGGAAAGUUUCGGGGGAUGGGGUUGGACUUGCGGCUUAUUUGUUUGUUGGUGGGGUAGUGGUUUACCAAGGCCUUGACGGGUAGCCGGCCUGGGAGGGUGACAGGGCACAUUGGGACUGGGGUAGGGCCCGGACGCAUACGUGGGGCAGCGGUGGAAGAUAUUGCGCGAUAGGCGGAGGGCUGAUAGAACAACGCCGGAUGCUGGAUGACGGUUGUCGGGUUGUAACCAGCUUUAGCCUGUAACGUAGCCUGAGUGACGGUAACGUAUAAGAAAGCGACGGCUAACUACGUG
rnacentral:rRNA from 1 species